rnacentral:rRNA from 1 species
CCUACGGGAGGCAGCAGUGAGGAAUAUUGGUCAAUGGGCGCAAGCCUGAACCAGCCAAGUCGCGUGAGGGAUGACGGUCCUAUGGAUUGUAAACCUCUUUUGUCGGGGAGCAAGGCCCGCCACGUGUGGCGGGAAGGAGAGUACCCGAAGAAAAAGCAUCGGCUAACUCCGUGCCAGCAGCCGCGGUAAUACGGGGGAUGCGAGCGUUAUCCGGUUUUAUUGGGUUUAAGGGGUGCGUAGGCGGAAGGUUAAGUCAGCGGUCAAAUGUCGGUGCUCAACACCGGCCUGCCGUUGAAACUGGUCGUCUUGAGUGAGCGAGAAGUAUGCGGAAUGCGUGGUGUAGCGGUGAAAUGCAUAGAUAUCACGCAGAACUCCGAUUGCGAAGGCAGCAUACCGGCGCUCAACUGACGCUGAGGCACGAAAGCGUGGGGAUCGAACAGGAUUAGAUACCCUGGUAGUC